rnacentral:rRNA from 1 species
GACGAACGCUGGCGGCGUGCCUAAUACAUGCAAGUAGAACGCACAGUUUAUACCGUAGCUUGCUACACCAUAGACUGUGAGUUGCGAACGGGUGAGUAACGCGUAGGUAACCUGCCUGGUAGCGGGGGAUAACUAUUGGAAACGAUAGCUAAUACCGCAUAAUAUUAAUUAUUGCAUGAUAAUUAAUUGAAAGGUGCAAUUGCACCACUACCAGAUGGACCUGCGUUGUAUUAGCUAGUAGGUGAGGUAACGGCUCACCUAGGCGACGAUACAUAGCCGACCUGAGAUGGUGGUCGGCCACACUGGGACUGAGACACGGCCCAGACUCCUACGGGAGGCAGCAGUAGGGAAUCUUCGGCAAUGGACGAAAGUCUGACCGAGCAACGCCGCGGGAGUGAAGAAGGUUUUCGGAUCGUAAAGCUCGGUUGUAAGAGAAGAACGGGUGUGAGAGUGGAAAGUUCACACUGUGACGGUAUCUUACCAGAAAGGGACGGCUAACUACGUG